rnacentral:sRNA from 1 species
UUCAAAAUAUAAUGGAAUCAAAAGCAAAUCGACGUCGUAAUAUAUUUGCAUGCUAUGAGCAGUUGAUAUUAUGGAUAAAAAGGAGGAUCAUGAAAGAAAGUCUAUUGAAAAGUGUACACAAAGUAAUGAUUAGCCAAAAAUGGAAAAGAAGAAAUAGACAUAUAAUUAUAAUCUCUAGUAGAGAUAUUUGGACUAGUAGUCUAUGCACAUGAUGUGUAAAACCAGUGGAAAAUAAAAUGAGU